UCCUCAGGCCUCCCCAGUCACGUGAGAUUGUGAGUCAACUAAACCUCUUUCCUUUAUAAAUUACCCAGUCUUGGGCAGUUCUUUAUAGCAUUGUGAGAAAAAACUAAUACAGCGUGGGAGGCUAGAACUGAGCCUGCAGGAACCAGAAGGUGAGGGUGAGAAUGACAACCUCUGAGAAGAAGGGCUCAGUUGAAACUGUGUGCCAAAGAGUUAAAAAAAUAGUCAUAGAAAUUCUUGAGUUUACAGGAUGGCAGAUAAAAGAAACAAAUUGCUGAAAUGCUGAAAUGCCUGGGCUUGUAGGUUAAUAAAACUGGCUGAAAUCCAUUGGAACCUAUAAGGCCAACUAGAGUCUGCACAGACCCAGCUUGCUGACCUUACAGCUGGAUUUCUAUGGCAUGUUUCAUACUAACUCCUCACUGAAUUUGCACGUGGAACCCUUAGGUAGCAUGAAGAGACAGGAGCACAUGCCCAAGGACUUCCCAGACUUCCUCUUUCCUUCCACCACGCACCUGCUAAUCCCAGAAUCCACACUCAAAACCAUUUCUAAUAAUUGCCCUAACGCCAGCACAGGGAGACAGAUUUGAGCUGGACUUCCUAUUUCUUUGUUGGUUGGCAUGCAGUAACAGUUUUUAUUUUAUCAAAAUCCCAGUGUUACAGUAUUGACUUCCAGUGCUUUGGGCAGCGAGCCUCCUUUGCUUGGUAACAGUAUGAUGGUGCCUUUGCCAUUCUCUGCCUACUUUACCACGUUUUACUAACCAACCAGUGGGCAUUCAUUUUGUGCUGUGCUUUCUAUGUGAGUAUUACCUGGAGUGGGGGAAGAAAGGUGUAUUGAAGUAGGCACAGUGGUAAUUUUGUAGUCUUGGUUUAUUUCUUAGUUCCCGCAUCUCUGCCAACCUUCCAAUAGUUACCGCCCACUAAGCCUGGAGGAGUAGAUCCUGCUGGAGACAGAGUUGUGCAUUAGGUGAAAUUGGCUUUUAUCUUUGACAUCUUUAUUUCCCCUCCAAUUUCUGGUAGUUCAUUGUAAGCUUUUGCCCCCUUUCUGCUCCUGUGUGUUCAGGAUCUCCCAUUAAAUUCCUUGUCUCCCCAGCCCACUUCAUGCCCCCAGUCUUCCAAUACUUUCCAUACUUCACCUUUUUCUCAUCCUCAACCUUAGUCCUAUUUUCCCGUGGCUUGAUUCUUCCUGGGAGGAAUAACUGAGCAUGAUAGAUUUAAUCAGAGGCAUAUGAUGAAGAUGCAUCAUUAGCCAUGUAUGUACAUGGAUGGUGGUGACACCGGAGAAGGUAUGUCAACUCCAGGUUGAAUGAUCAGGAUAUGUGGUGAUAGCCUCCAGGUUCUAGGGGGUUUGAAAUUUUAUUUUAGGUCAGAUAAGUGUAAAAGGAAGAAAAAUGUAAUUAUUUUGAUCCUUAUCAUUUUUCAAAUAAAAUUUACAAGCAAGAAAAAUUCAUUGUCAGAUCGUUGUGAAACAAUUGUUUUCUUUGAAAAUGCUUCUCCAUCUGAAAUUCUCAGGGAUGUCAGGAUUAGGUCUAUUUGUUUGACCAACACUCUUUACUCUUAACUUUUGUGAUUUAACUCACUCCAUCUCAGCCAGCAGGUGAUGUGGAUGUGACCUCAACAACACACAGUAGCCUCCUACCCAGGUAUGCUCAAGUGACUGACUUCUUAGGUGUAACAUGGCCAGCAGUAAACAGUCACCAGUUACCUUGAAUGCAUCGGGGUUGUCCUAGCACCUACAAUCUGUGGGGACAUGGAGCGGUGGACAGUCGUAAUCAGUGAGGUGAUGACAACAGGAAGAAGGCCAACAACCCCAAACACUGCAGCUGCAUCAUAGAUCAGAUCUUCACUGGUGGGCUGCAGUUGGACGUCACCUGGCAAGUCUGCCGGCCAGACAGGACAAGGCUUCUGUCCCAGGAGGGCUGAUGACAUGGGCCCCUGGAGCUGAGCUGCUGGGCCGGGGAGGGCCAGUCUGUCUCCCUCACAGAUGGCCCAAUGCCAGGGGAUGCCCUUGAGGACCCUCACUCCAGUUUGGCUGAGAAUACAAGAAACGGACAUGGUCAGCAUCUUCACCGAGCCCACCGGGGCCCCUCAGGGAUGAGCCCCACAGGCCUGGGCCUCUGGAGUCCUCGGGGUCCCUGUGUGGUCCCCUGGUCUGUGACUGAGGACACCCCUGCAGGCUGCUGAUCCCAGAGGGAGUGCUGUGUGCAGUCUGGGGUUGGAAGGUUUUUGGAGUGGGGGAGCCUCAGGUCACUCCUGGUUCGGCAGCCCUGAUUCAUAUCUCAGAUGGAAGAGGCCUUCACUGUCACCCAGGCCGCUUGCCACCUCACAUGGGGGCCUGUCUCCACAGUGGGUGAGACGGCCCUGGGCACGGGGCCCCCUCUGCCCUCCAGGCUGUCCACUCCAUGCCGGGGCUGGACCCAUCCCACACCUGGCUGAACUCUUGUUUCUGGAUCCGGGCCAGGGGAUCUUCCCAUGCCCUCUGCCCAUAUCCUCUCUGGGCCAGGAACACGGAUUCUCUUGUCUCCCUGGCUUGUUGUCUUGCCACCCUUGGAGGGGCACUCAAGAGUGAGGGGUCCCUGCUGCUCUCUAAGGAGGUGGGAGUGGGGGCUUCCACAGACGGGUCCGACUGCCCCAGUGCCCUUCAGCGCCCUUCGAAGGAAAGAGGGGGACAAAGUAGAAAGUGGAGAAGGGGUAUUGGGGAGGGUCCUGUCCACAGCCCCCCCAACCCCGUCUGCCCAGCAUCCAGCAUGUCCAGCACACAUGUGCUCAGCACCUGCCCUGAGGACCGGCAGAUCCACUUGACUGUCUUUGAGUAGAGGAGGAAGAGGAAGUGCAGAAGGAAGCUCCAGGUGGUGUCACUGGUGGAGGGUGUCUAGGUUCUUGGCGUCUUGAACAAAGAAUUGGACAAAAUGGACAAACAAGGCCAGGAAGGAAUGAAGGGAUUUAUUGAAAAUGAAAGUACAUUCUACAGUCUGGGCGAGGGCCCAAGGGUGGGGGCUCAAGAGCCCCGUUACAGAAUUUUUGGGAGUUUAAAUAUCCUUUAGAGGAUUCCAUUGGUUACAUGGUAUAUGCUUUAUGUAAUGAAGAGGAUGAAUUAAAGUUACAAAGUCAUUUACUUGGUGUACGCCCUAUGGAGAGGAUAUUUGCUGUCAUAGCUGAAGUGCGAAUCAGCCUUAUGUUCCCUGCCUCCAGUCCCUAUUUUCCUGCCUCAUUUUCCCCCUGAGAGAUGUGAUUCCCAUAAAUCCUUGUGGGAGGCAGAAGGACCAAUGGUCUUUCUUCUGUAACUGCUUCAUGCUGGCUUGGGGCAUAGUCCCUACCUGUUGGGGAUCACAGAACUCUCACCCUGCUCUGUCUAGUGGAAGCAGAGUAGCUCCUUGAUGGCCAGAGGUGGUGUCUUCACCUGGAACUGACUGGAACCUUUGUUGCAUAACUAUCUGAAGCUUGAUGGUCUCUAGGCAAGAGGAAAUGAAUUUGGUUAAAAGAUUUAAUGCGAACUUCAGGGGAUGGAUAUCUAUGUUAUCAGGAAUGUUUGUUAUAGAGAUUUGCAGGAGAAAAAACAAAACCUGGUCUGUUCUAGAAUCUAUGUGUUUCCUUAAACUCUUAGCACAGAUAACCCCUUUUGGCUUGGUUUGGUCUGCUGGGGCCUAGUGCAUGAUCUUAGUCUAAAACAAUGGCAUCCCAGAAUUUUGUUUAAAAAUAUUCCCCCUUUCUGGUCAGGUUCUCUCUUAGGUGAGAGUGUGGCCAAAACUUAGGGCCUUAGCGCCACUCUCAGUUACCAUGAUUUUGGGUUUCCGGUCUCAGCACUUCAUUGAUAGGUUGCAGUGUCCUCAAGGUUGCACAUUUCUUUCAGUUCUUGUCAUUCCAGUUGAAGAGAGACCAUAUGAUGUUCUAGAGAUGGCUGCAUGCAAGCAAUAAAACCUUCGAGAGAAUCCAGUGCACCAGGGAGACUAUUCUCAUGAUUAUUGAGAGGAUGGUACAAAGAGUUUGGAGUAUGGUCCUUACCCAGGGUCUCCAUGAGUCAAACCUCCUAAAAUCAAAUAGAGCAAAGAAUGAGCUAGAUAAAGAGUCUACUCACUUAAUAAGUAGUCUCUUUGUUAAUCCACUACCACUGAAUUUCCAUAAUUUUCACUUGAUGUAUUUUUCCAUAGGCCACAAGUGCCAGCACCGGCACAGAUACUUCUUGUUCAGCCAAUUCUAUUAUAACUUUCACAAGAGAAUUUAAAGUUUCUUGUGUCCUUUACUGUAUAAUUUGCUAUAGAGUCUAUCAUGAGGGAUACAUUUCUAAUCAUUGCUUCUUUUACUUUAAACCAUGGAAAAAGGACCUAACAAAUGAUGCCCUUCUAGAAGAGUGAAGACCUCCUGGCAGUGUUCUUUUUAACUCAUGAUGUGGGUUAAAAGGAAUGAAUCAAUGUUUUGUUUAUAACUGAAUACGAGGCAAUGUAUGUACCAUUAAAGUUUUGUACCUACAUUAGGCUUUCAUCUUUUAUUUAUCAAAGUAUAAGUUUUUCCAUGUAUAGGGCUGGCUGUAAACUUCCUCACAAAUAAAACUAUACCCAGUAAGUGCACAUAACAGACCGACUCCCUUUUCACUUCUAUUGUUUAUAGAGGCGUAAGCAAGAAAAAAUAUUCAAAGAAAAGAGUUUCAUGAUAAUAGAAGUCUUAAUCUGUGAACGUGGAAAAAGCAGUUCACAUCAAGGAUGCCACCUUCUUCUGGGGAGAAACUUUCCUGGCUAGUUUUACCUUAAGGAUUUCAAUGAGUGUACAUUUCUAAGAGUGAUGAGGGACUCUUCUCAGUUGUGAGAUUAUGAACCCAAAGUUCAACAUCCUGAAGUUUUGUAAUAGUGUGGAUGGCAAGGACAGUUUUUCUUUGACGUUCUCAGAAGAUCCAAACCAUAAAAAGUU